GGGCCGUUGGAGACCACAACGUUGAUAGGUGGGGUGUGUAAGCGUAGCGAUACGUUGAGCUAACCCAUACUAAUUACCCGUGAGGCUUAACCAU
rnacentral:rRNA from 1 species